AUACGUAGGUGACAAGCGUUAUCCGGAUUUACUGGGCGUAAAGGGCGUGUAGGCGGUCUUGCAAGUCAGAAGUGAAAUUCCUGAGCUCAACUCGGGCGCUGCUUCUGAAACUGCAGGACUUGAGUGCUGGAGGGGAUAGCGGAAGUCCUCGUGGAGCGGUAAAAUGCGCAGAUAUUAGGAAGAACACCGGUGGCGAAGGCGGCUAUCUGGACAGUAACUGACGCUGAGGCGCGAAAGCGUGGGGAGCAAACAGGAUUAGAUCCCCUGGUAGUCCACGCCGUAAACGAUGAAUACUAGGUGUAGGGGGUAUCGACUCCCUCUGUGCCGCAGUUAACACAAUAAGUAUCCCGCCUGGGGAGUACGGCCGCAAGGUUGAAACUUAAAGGAAUUGACGGGG
rnacentral:rRNA from 1 species